GGUUAAGUUAGAAAGGGCGCACGGUGAAUGCCUUGGCACUAGGAGCCGAUGAAGGACGGGACUAACACCGAUAUGCUUCGGGGAGCUGUAAGUGAGCUUUGAUCCGGAGAUUUCCGAAUGGGGAAACCCACUGUUCGUAAUGGAACAGUAUCUUUAUCUGAAUACAUAGGAUAUUGAAGGCAGACCCGGGGAACUGAAACAUCUAAGUACCCGGAGGAAGAGAAAGCAAAUGCGAUUUCCUGAGUAGCGGCGAGCGAAACGGAAUUAGCCCAAACCAAGAGGCUUGCCUCUUGGGGUUGUAGGACACUCUAUACGGAGUUACAAAGGAACGAAGUAAAUGAAGCGACCUGGAAAGGUCCGUCGAAGAAGGUAACAACCCUGUAGUUGAAACUUCGUUCCCUCUUGAGUGGAUCCUGAGUACGGCGGAACACGUGAAAUUCCGUCGGAAGCUGGGAGGACCAUCUCCCAAGGCUAAAUACUACCUAGUGACCGAUAGUGAACCAGUACCGUGAGGGAAAGGUGAAAAGCACCCCGGAAGGGGAGUGAAAGAGAUCCUGAAACCGUGUGCCUACAAGUAGUCAGAGCCCGUUAACGGGUGAUGGCGUGCCUUUUGUAGAAUGAACCGGCGAGUUACGAUCCCAUGCAAGGUUAAGCUGAUAAGGCGGAGCCGUAGCGAAAGCGAGUCUGAAUAGGGCGUUUAGUAUGUGGUUGUAGACCCGAAACCAGGUGAUCUACCCAUGUCCAGGGUGAAGUUCAGGUAACACUGAAUGGAGGCCCGAACCCACGCACGUUGAAAAGUGCGGGGAUGAGGUGUGGGUAGCGGAGAAAUUCCAAUCGAACCUGGAGAUAGCUGGUUCUCUCCGAAAUAGCUUUAGGGCUAGCCUCAUGUUGUGAGAGUCUUGGAGGUAGAGCACUGAUUGGACUAGGGGCCCCCAACGGGUUACCGAAUUCAGUCAAACUCCGAAUGCCAAAGACUUAUCCAUGGGAGUCAGACUGCGAGUGAUAAGAUCCGUAGUCAAAAGGGAAACAGCCCAGACCACCAGCUAAGGUCCCCAAGUAUACGUUAAGUGGAAAAGGAUGUGGAGUUGCUUAGACAACCAGGAUGUUGGCUUAGAAGCAGCCACCAUUUAAAGAGUGCGUAAUAGCUCACUGGUCGAGUGACUCUGCGCCGAAAAUGUACCGGGGCUAAACGUAUCACCGAAGCUGUGGAUUGACAUCUUUGAUGUCAGUGGUAGGAGAGCGUUCUAAGUGCUGUGAAGUCAGACCGUAAGGACUGGUGGAGCGCUUAGAAGUGAGAAUGCCGGUAUGAGUAGCGAAAGACAAGUGAGAAUCUUGUCCACCGAAUGCCUAAGGUUUCCUGAGGAAGGCUCGUCCGCUCAGGGUUAGUCGGGACCUAAGCCGAGGCUGAAAAGCGUAGGCGAUGGCCAACAGGUUGAUAUUCCUGUACCACCUCCCCGCCGUUUGAGUAAUGGGGGGACGCAGUAGGAUAGGGUAAGCGCGCUGCUGGAUAUGCGCGUUCAAGCAGUUAGGCUGAUGAGUAGGCAAAUCCGCUCAUCAUAAAGGCUGAGCUGUGAUGACGAGGGAAUUAUAGUACCGAAGUUCCUGAUUCCACACUGCCAAGAAAAGCCUCUAGCGAGGCGGGAGGUGCCCGUACCGCAAACCGACACAGGUAGGCGAGGAGAGAAUCCUAAGGUGAUCGAGAGAACUCUCGUUAAGGAACUCGGCAAAAUGACCCCGUAACUUCGGGAGAAGGGGUGCUCUGGUAGGGUGUAUAGCCCGAGAGAGCCGCAGUGAAUAGGCCCAGGCGACUGUUUAGCAAAAACACAGGUCUCUGCGAAGCCGCAAGGCGAAGUAUAGGGGCUGACGCCUGCCCGGUGCUGGAAGGUUAAGAGGAGGGGUUAUCCUUUGGGAGAAGCUCUGAAUCGAAGCCCCAGUAAACGGCGGCCGUAACUAUAACGGUCCUAAGGUAGCGAAAUUCCUUGUCGGGUAAGUUCCGACCCGCACGAAAGGCGUAACGAUCUGGGCACUGUCUCAACGAGAGACUCGGUGAAAUUAUAGUACCUGUGAAGAUGCAGGUUACCCGCGACAGGACGGAAAGACCCCGUGGAGCUUUACUGUAGCCUGAUAUUGAAUUUUGGUACAGCUUGUACAGGAUAGGUAGGAGCCUGAGAAGCCGGAGCGCUAGCUUCGGUGGAGGCGUCGGUGGGAUACUACCCUGGCUGUAUUGAAAUUCUAACCCGCGGCCCUGAUCGGGCCGGGAGACAGUGUCAGGUGGGCAGUUUGACUGGGGCGGUCGCCUCCUAAAAUGUAACGGAGGCGCCCAAAGGUUCCCUCAGAAUGGUUGGAAAUCAUUCGUAGAGUGUAAAGGCACAAGGGAGCUUGACUGCGAGACCUACAAGUCGAGCAGGGACGAAAGUCGGGCUUAGUGAUCCGGUGGUUCCGCAUGGAAGGGCCAUCGCUCAACGGAUAAAAGCUACCCCGGGGAUAACAGGCUUAUCUCCCCCAAGAGUCCACAUCGACGGGGAGGUUUGGCACCUCGAUGUCGGCUCAUCGCAUCCUGGGGCUGUAGUCGGUCCCAAGGGUUGGGCUGUUCGCCCAUUAAAGCGGUACGCGAGCUGGGUUCAGAACGUCGUGAGACAGUUCGGUCCCUAUCCGUCGUGGGCGUAGGAAAUUUGAGAGGAGCUGUCCUUAGUACGAGAGGACCGGGAUGGACACACCGCUGGUGUACCAGUUGUCUUGCCAAAGGCAUCGCUGGGUAGCUAUGUGUGGACGGGAUAAGUGCUGAAAGCAUCUAAGCAUGAAGCCCCCCUCAAGAUGAGAUUUCCCAUAGCGUAAGCUAGUAAGAUCCCUGAAAGAUGAUCAGGUUGAUAGGUCAGAGGUGCAAGCGUGGCGACAUGUGUAGCUGACUGAUACUAAUCGAUCGAGGACUUAACCAA
rnacentral:rRNA from 1 species